rnacentral:lncRNA from 1 species
GAUUCUGUUGGAUGGGUCGGCAGGCGGACCGAGCGAGAAGAACGCGCCGCCCAACUUGACGCUUCGGCCGGCCGCCUUCAAGGCCAUCAACGACCUCCGGACACUCAUCUCCAAGGCUUGCGGACAGGUCGUCUCUUGCUCCGACAUCUCCGCCCUGGCCGCCCGCGACUCGGUCUUCUUGGUAUCCAUCGACUCCCCCUCCGACUCAUCUUUCUCUCUCUAAAGCUGUCGGCGAUGCCAGUCCUGAUCCUCCUCUGAUCUUUAUCUUCUUCUAGUCCGGCGGCCCCGACUACAGGGUUCCACUGGGCCGGCGAGAUGGCCUGAGCUUCGCGACCCGGGAUGCCGUCCUCAGCUUCCUCCCCUCGCCUACAUCCGACGUCACCACCCUCAUCAACGCCCUCGCCAAGCUCAAACUCGACACCACCGACCUCGUCACCCUCUCCGGCGGCCACACCAUCGGUAUCGGCCACUGCACCUCCUUCCAGAACCGGCUCUUCCCCUCCCAGGACUCCACCCUGGAGCCGACCUUCGCCAAGAACCUCUACCGGACCUGCCCGGUCAAAGACACAACCAACACCACCGUCAACGACAUCCGGACGCCCAAUACCUUCGACAACAAGUACUACGUCGAUCUCGUAAGCAAGCAGGGCCUCUUCACCUCCGACCAGGGCCUGUUCGGCGACUCCAGGACCAAGCCCCUCGUCACCAGCUUUGCCGCCAACCAGCCCUUGUUCUUCGGCAAGUUUGUGUACUCCAUGACCAAGAUGGGCCAGCUGAGCGUGUUGACUGGCAAGCAAGGUGAGAUCAGGAAGAACUGCUCGGCGCUCAACUCGGGCAAGAAGGUCUUGUGGUCUGUGGUCGAUGGUGAGGGUGAUGGCAGCGAGGUGUUCUGAAGCAAACGUUGUAUGCAGCUUGCACAAUAAAUGGUCGAUAGAUUGGGACAUGGAUGUGUUUCCAAGACAUCAUCACUCUCCUAUCUCCCGUCUUCAACCUUUUGUAUCUUAUAUGUUUCGGGUGCUUCAAUUACCAUAAUUUACGAGUAAGACACUGUUUUCAUGAUUUGAAUCGUAGUAUUGGAAAUCAAAAAGGAACGAUCAUAUCAUAAUUAAAUAUUUACGAAUGACAGAA